UUGUGCAUAUAGUAAGCACUGGGGGGUCCACCGUUUGUGCAUAUAGCAAGCAAGCACCGGCAGCCGCCCAAGUUUUGCCAUUGGGGAGCCAAACAUCAAACUCAGCAGUUUGGCACGUGAGUGUUCUCUCAGGAAACUGGCAACAAUGCACAUGAUCACUGCCACUUUCCACAGAAAGUUUCUGUCAGCACCAGCAGGCAUCUCCUGUCACAAGUUAAAGCUACUCAGCAAAAAGGAUUUUCACUUACUUCUAAGGUUCUCGCUCUCCUGAUGUACACACAAGCAUGCAGAAAAAAAGAAAAAAAGGGUGGUCUCGAGGUGUUCCAGCUGGCAACACACUGUAGUUGAAUUUGCCACAGUGCCAUCAGAGAACAUGCUUCAGCCUCUAAAGCACGUUCAAUAAAGGCUCCAUAAGAGCAGAGCCGAGUUCAGUCAUUAUUUCUCUUUCCUCCAAGCCAUGAGAUAGUUUCAUGUUCUGUUCCUGUAGUGGCGGUGGAAAUUUUCUAUAUCAGCUGCCUUGCACGUUUUGGGAUGCAUGCUGGCAAGAAAGCUUAUCUCCAUGGAUCAAUGGGAUUAAAACAGGGGACACAAAUGUAUAGAUAUAUGAGGGGCACAAAACUUGUAAGUGAUAUUAUAUUGUAUAAUGCUUCAACAGGCUAUUUACAGAAUAUAUAAAAAUAUGAUAAACUGUCAUAUAAGCUGUCAUAUCUAAUAUAAAAUAAAGCAACCUC